rnacentral:rRNA from 1 species
AACCUGCCUCGCAGUGGGGAAUAACAGUUGGAAACGAUUGCUAAUACCGCAUAAUGCACCGAGAUCGCAUGGUCUUGAUGCCAAAGAUUUAUCGCUGUGAGAUGGCCUCGCGUCUGAUUAGCUAGUUGGUGAGGUAACGGCCCACCAAGGCGACGAUCAGUAGCCGGACUGAGAGGUUGAUCGGCCACAUUGGGACUGAGACACGGCCCAG